rfam:Oryza glaberrima chromosome 2 Oglab02_0289_1, whole genome shotgun sequence.
CCUUGGUGUAUACUCCCUCAUAUUUCUGUAUCCAACUUUGACUGUCCAUCUUAUAUGAAAUUUUUUUAUAAUUCGUAUUUUCAUUGUUAUUAUAUGAUAAAAUAUGAUUAAUAUUUUAUGCGUGACUUAUCUUUUUAAUUUUUUUCAAAUAAGACGGACAGUCAAACGUUAGACACGGAAACCAGAGUUUGUUUUUUUA